UAUGGCAUUUAUUUAUCACGGUUACUUUGGGAUGUAAUUAUCCUCGUACUGCUUACAGAGAAGUGUGAAGCUGCUUCAAAUCACACAGCUAGAAGACUGUGUGAUUGAACCUGUGGAUCCCUGUCGCGUAUUUCUGCCUGAUUCAUUUUCCAGCGACCCUGGUUAAAAUCUACAAAAAGCCACCCUAGGGCCACAGGAUGGAGAGAGAAGAAUCAAUUUUUGUCUCUUCUAUCCAGUGAGAGGAGAGUUUGACUCACCGCAUUACAUGAACCAUCAAGAACUGUGUCCAUGGAAGUGUGGUCCCAAAUGUUUGAGGAGAAAGCUCUCCUGUGUACCUUAUUGCAAGGAACAAUGAACAGUGAACAUGAUUAGAGGAAUUUCUCUGAAUUCCCUCCACAUGCCCAGUGGUGCUCACUAUGGAUGGAAGAUGAAUGUACUGUCACAGGUAUCAGUGACAUUCCAGGAUGUGGCUGUGGACUUCACUGGGGAGGAGUGGCAGUUGCUGGGAUGUGCUCAAAGAAAGCUGUAUUGGGAUGUGAUGCUGGAGAACUUUAGAAACAUCCUCUCGAAGUUAUCUGCUUACUUGGUGAUGAGCUAGAAAGACAGGAAGGAGAAAGAAGGAAGCAAAGACAAUUUUUUGAACCAAGGAAUGUUCACCUUCAAGAAAGCACUGACCAACAAAAUAGUCCAAAAUUGUAAUCUGAGUAUAAACCUUAUUUCUUCAAGACAAAAACGGCAUAAAUGUGAAUCAAAUGGAAAGAGUUUGCAGCCUAAUUUACACUUACUUAAUUAUAGUAAAAGUUAUUUGAGAGAAAACUCUUAUGAAUACAAGGAAUAUGGAAAAGCCUUCAAAAACAAGUUAUGUCUCAUUAGACAUGAAAAAAAGCAUACAAGGAAAAAAACCUUUGGGUGCGAUGAAUGUGGGAAAGCCUUCCAAAAGAAGUCUCGUCUCAUUAGACAUGAAAAAAAGCAUACAAGGGGGAAAAAAAGCCUUUGAAUGCAGUGACUGUGGGAAAGCCUUUACCAGUAAGGGACACCUUGUAGCUCAUCAAAAAAUCCAUAGCGGAGAGAGACCCUUUGUGUGCAGUGAUUGUGGGAAAGCGUUUAUGCAUAAAGCAUAACUCGUGGUCCACCAGAGACUCCACACUGGGGAGAAGCCUUAUGAAUGUAGUCAGUGUGGGAAAUCAUUCACCUGGCAUUCCUCCUUCACUCAGCACGUAAAGUCCCACACACCCGAGAACUCAUUUGAGUGUAAAGAAUGUGGGAAAACCUUCAAGUACAGUUUAUCCCUUUAUAAACACUCUGGAAAUCACACCGGCGAGAAACCGUACCACUGUAGAGAAUGUGGCAAAGCCUUUGGGGACUCCUUAGUGCUGGUCAUGCAUCAGAGGAUUCACACAGGUGAGAAACCUCAUAGGCGCACUGAGUGUGGCAAAGCCUUCAUCAAGAAAUCACAUCUCCUUAAACAUUACUUAACUCACACAGCAGAGCAGCAAAAUAAAUGCAACACAUGUGGGAAAUCUUUUAAGCGGAAGACACAUUUCAUUCUCCAUCAAAGAAAUCAUAAAAACAAUGGAGCUUUGUAAAUGUGGGAAAACUUAAAAUUAGCCUUUUAAUAAAGCAGCAAAGAAUUCAUCAUGGGAGAAACCCUAUCAGCUGAAUAAAUGUGGAAAAGCCUGUUCUGAAAUUCAUUUUUUGUAAGUGAUACUACUUACUGAAAAGAUUACAGAAAAUUUUAAGCUGUAAAUAGACAACUUUACUGAACAGAAAAGCUGAGGAAAUUUUGAAAAACUGAAUAAGGCAUCAGACUGACUAACUGCAUAUAUACACUGUCCCUAUUUUAUGGUUUUUAAACAAAUUGUACAAAUGUCUGCAUUGCUUAAGAAAUUGUAUAGCCAUAGGUAUGAAAUAUAUGCUAUGCACAUAAUACAGAGUUAUGUCUGUUAUGAUGAUUGCAGAGCAUUGUAAAUGUACUUAAUGCCAAUGAAUUACACACUUAAAAUGGCUUAAAGAGUAAAUUUUAUGUUCUAUCAAAAUCUCUGGUAAACACCAUCAUUGUUCAAAAUCUGAAAUCACCAUAUCCAGAAUUGCCAAUGAUAAAUGAAAUAACAUGGUUUAGCAUGUAGAGUGAAGGUCACUGCUAUGAACCUGAUGUAUAACUAUUCUGUGGCACCUGUGAAUAGUUGUGGCAGUUGUUACUGAGCCUUCUUGAGCUUCCUCUUCAAUAAUAGGGACCGUUAUGAAGUCCUCUACUGCUCUGCUUAAGUGAGGACAGACAGUUUUCUUCUCUAUACAAAACACCAAAGUGUAUGUAUAUUUAAUCCUGAUUAACCAGACAAUGAAGAAGGAAAGGAGCUGUGUUCUGUGUUACUCUAAGCACUUACUAUAGGGAAAGAGAAGUAUCUCCAGGUAAAUAGUUGUAAAUAAAAGCUAACCUAA